rnacentral:rRNA from 1 species
UACAGAGGUCUCAAGCGUUGUUCGGAUUCAUUGGGCGUAAAGGGUGCGUAGGUGGCGGAAUAAGUCGGGUGUGAAAUCUCGGGGCUUAACCCCGAAACUGCAUUCGAUACUGUUUUGCUGGAGGACUGGAGAGGAGAUUGGAAUUCAUGGUGUAGCAGUGAAAUGCGUAGAUAUCGUAAGGAAGACCAGUGGCGAAGGCGGGCCUCUGGACAGUUCCUGACACUGAGGCACGAAGGCCAGGGGAGCAAACGGG